UGUGAGCAUUCCUCUAUCUGUAAGAACUGAGUGCACCAUGUUGUGAGCACUGAGUACCAGUCACUGUUAGUUGCUUUCAGAAAAGAAUGUAGUAAUUCUGUCUUUACAACUUGACUUAGUUAGCAGUAAAACCAAAGAAGCCGCAGGUACUUAAUCAGUUUCUGCCCUUCACAGCUGGGGCACCCAGCUACUCUCAGAUCCGUCAUGUGCAUACCAAACACCAGUCUUGUGAAACUUCCAGUGAUGUACAGCAAGGAUAAAAUCCAGAAACUUUAAAUCAAGGGGAUUACACUGGACGGUGAAAUAGCCUAUAAUUAGCUGGGGAAGAGCAUCAUAAAGCAAUUUCCUUUCCCUAGACGGGUUUUUCUUAUGUUUUAGCUUUCUACAUAUUUUGUGAUGCUUAAACACAGUGAGAGCAACAGGUCUAAUCUAUUUUGUUAUCCAUUCCUGUAUUCAGCACAGCAACAGACACAAAAUGCUGGAGGAACUCAACAGGUCAGGUAGCACCUAUGGAGGAGAAUAAAAAUUAAUGCUUUGGAUCAAGACCCUUCAUCAAAACUGGAAAAGAAAAAAAAAACAGAAGACAGAAUAAAAAGGGAGAUAAUGGCUGCAAAAGACCCAGGAAGCAACAGAACAUCAACUUGAGCAAAGUGCAAGGAGAUCUUGUUUCCAAGAUGGGUUUCCCAUAAAGGAAAUAAAAGACCAACUAGUUGUCCUAAGUUUAAUCUCUCAAGUCUCUAAAUUGUCAAUCCAAGCUCAUCCUCUACCCGUGAACACUUCGCCCUCUACCCGUGAUGUGAACACUUCACCCUCUCCCUGUGACACAUCCCCCUCUAUCCGUGAACACUUCAUCCUCUACUCGUGAACACUUCGUCCUCUACCCUCUACUCAUGAACA